rnacentral:rRNA from 1 species
UACGUAGGGUGCGAGCGUUUGUCCGGAAUUAUUGGGCGUAAAGGGCUCGUAGGCGGUCUGUCACGUCGGGAGUGAAAACUCAGGGCUUAACCCUGAGCCUGCUUCCGAUACGGGCAGACUAGAGGUAUGCAGGGGAGAACGGAAUUCCUGGUGUAGCGGUGAAAUGCGCAGAUAUCAGGAGGAACACCGGUGGCGAAGGCGGUUCUCUGGGCAUUACCUGACGCUGAGGAGCGAAAGUGUGGGGAGCGAACAGG